GGCAUGGCAACUCACUCCAUGUAUUCUUGCCUGGAGAAUCCCAGGGACAGAGGAGCCCCACGGGCGGGCUACAAAGAUUUGGAAACGACUGAAGUAACUUAGCAUGCAUACAUACUUAGGUAGAAGGAGUGUGUCUUUUAGUUUCUUCUCUCUGUUGCAUCUUUCUUUCUUUCUCUCUACCUGCAGCAUCCAUCCCUCAGCCUCUCAGGAGCUUAGUAUUUUUCAUGUCUCCCAGUUUCUAGUUAGGAAGAAAAGCAACCAUGGAGGACAACCCCUGAGGUGUCAUCCAUACUCACCGUGUCUCUGCCUGUCAUACAUCUGACUCCCUCAUCCACAGGGUGGCAAGCUGGGAGCCAUUAUUAGAUUAGAUGACUCACAGCCCAGCCAUAGUUGUUUGGAUCAGGAGAGAACAUUGAAUCAAACUGUCAAUCAGAUCCUGAUUCACUUGAAAACUUCAAGUUUGAUCCAAAACUCUCCCCAUCCUCUCAGCACACAUGAGGCUCGUGGCCCCAGCGACUUGUGUGUGAAUCUGUGUGUUUGUGCACGUGACUGAUGGAGGAGUGCACUGUUCUCUCACAGAAGCCCCACUUGUUCCACAGUGGACCCUUCUAGCACGUGGAGAGGAAGCAGAAGAGGGAGGUGUCUCCUGAGGUGAAGAGGUCUCCUCACUCCAGGUGGCACUCUUUAGGAAUUCAAGUCCAAACAGGCCUAGAAAGAAGCCUGUGAGAGGUCUGGUGACUCCAGGCCUGAAGUCUCCCCCCAUCAUUCCUCUGCACCCAGAGCCCCUCUGUUUCACCCCUCGAUGGUCCUUGACAAGCCUGCCACCUCCGAUCAUAUAUCUUCUGUGGUCCCAACUCUGGGGUCUAGGAGGAGGUGAGGGGGCUCAUGCUCUAUCAUGAGGGUCUGGGAAACUGCGAGUGUGUCCACUGCACCACCCCCAACCCCACUCCACCUUCUGAUCCCACCAUCAUAUCUUGGGCUUCCAUGCUUACUCCCCUAUUGGUAUCUGAGGUGGAUCAGCAAGACCAGUGCUCACCAGUCAUGCAAAGAGGGCCUGGGUUGUCAAACUUCUCUUUCUUUUUAGACACCCAUCAACUUGGAGUGGUUCUAUUGAGUUCCCUUCCCUCAACUUUGGAUAGGAGGCCAGUCCUGAGACCAGAGUCUCUCUUGUCAAACCUUGUCUUUUCUCCCCAGAGGAGAAGUCCUCCUCUUAGACCUUCUCAUGAUAGAACCUGGCAAACCAGCCUAGUCUCUCCAGCCCCUGGGAGGGCAGAGGUCUCUAGUUAGCAACUGGUCCUUCUUUAUUUCAGCUCCAAGCCUUUCAUAACUUUUCUCAAUACAGCACAGACUCUGCUAUGAUCCCUGUGUUAUUCUGCUAAUAUGAGUGGGAGGACUAGGUCUCAACCAGAAAUGCACACUGGACUUCCCUGGUGGUCCAAUGGUUAAGACUCCACUGCAUUUCCCUGCACUUCCACUGCAGGGCAUGUGGCUUCCAUUCCCUGAUCGGGGAACUAAGAUUCCAUAUGCCACACAGUGAGACAGACAGCAACAACAACAAAAAUCCCAAACAAAACACAACCACAACAAAAACUCAAACAAAACAAGACCAAAAAAUGCACACCAUCCUGCUACUAUAAAUGGAGUCUUGUUCCUACAUUUGUAACUUUUCCUGAUGACAUGCACUUGGUAAGAUUAUUGCCUAAAGAAGUAAGUGUGUCUCCCAAAGGAAUGACUCUUUCUGGGAUUCUUCAAACCCCACCAGCUUAGGGCCUUUUUAUGUUAGACUAGUCCUCCAGAGAAAGCGAGUGGUUUUGUGAUUUUCCUCUAGCUGAGUUCGCAGCUUCCUUGUAGGAAUAGACAAAGUGUGUAGUGGGGUUGCAAAGAAGGAAGGAAGUGAAGGUACAGGUCAGAAAGUGGUUAAAGCAAAGAUCCGUGAGGCUCAGAAGGUGGAGCACCGAGUGGCUCUGCACCCUGGCCACUCAUUGGAAUCAACGGGGAAAGCUUGGGCAAUAACUAUGGUUGUAUCCCUCCCCCAGAGCACCUGAUGCCACUGAUUAAGGCAGAUUAGUCUUCCUGAGCUGCAGCAACUCCCCAGGUGAUUCUAAUAUUUAGCUGAGGUUACAGAACACAACUGUAUGCAAGGAAAAGAAGUGGAGUGAGAUGGAUGCUGGUAGAUUGAAAAGAAAAUGAGAAUUCAAGAUCUUGAAGAUCCCAGAUGUAGAGGGCUUAACUGAGCCCUGGAUUCAGGGGGGAGGCUGCUCUUGUUACUGAAAACCCAAGUCCGUGUGCCCGACGCACAAUGGGGUCAAACAAUACCGAGACAUCAGAGUUUGGAACAAAGUUUUAUUACAGGGCCAUGCAAGGAGAUGGGUGGUUCAUCCCUUAAAAACCCAAACUCCCUGAAAGCUUUUAGCAAAGCACUUUUCUAGGAAAGGUGAGGGACGUGUUUGGGUAGUUGCUGCAAACUUCUUGGUGUCACACCCUUUGUUCUUGAGGUCAGGUAAUGCUACUCCUGUAAAUCUCUGUCAGACAAAUAUUAUUCUCUGUUCUGAAAAGAAACGGCAAGGUCCCGAGGACCUGUCAUCCUCCAAGGUCCAGGUCCUGACUGAGAGGAGGCAGAUCUCAGUUGGCAGCUCCCUUAAGCCCAGGUCCCCAGGCCCUACCCUGCUCUCAUCAACCAAAGGAGCCAGGCACCCAACCCAGCUGGCCCUCAGGCUCCUCAGGCCACCAAAACUGGUGUGUGUGGAGGGGGGUGGGCAGGUCCCACCGACUGUGACCCAGGCAGACAGCAGGGUCGCAGAGACAGGGAUGGGAAGAGGUUCACCACUGCCCCGAGGCCUGGACUCCACCAGUGGGCUGGAGCCCUGCAGGACACAGCCCCUAGCCUGUUCCCUGGGUCCCCCAGCUCACCUAUUGGCCCAAGGCCGGGGAACAGACCGGAGGGCCCCAGGCAGAAGGCCAGGAUCUGGCCCUUAGCUCACUCUCCACCUGACCACUGGUCACCACUACCCUGACCAUUGUGGGGAUUGGUGUGUGGGCCAUUAACGGCCCCGCAUUCGCAGCUGGCUGCUUGUGGGCGUGGCCCACGGCAGCACCAGCCAAUGGCUGAGCCGGACCGAUUGUCUGGUCACAGGUGUGCAGUCCUGAGCUGCAGCAAUGGCUGCCUUUCCGAGGGCUGUCCUUGCGGCGCUCUGGUACCAUUCAGAGAGCAAGACGUCAGGCCUGAAGGUGCUCAGCUGUGUCUGGCUCACAGAUGGUGCUCAACAAAUAUUUGAAGCAGCAUAUGUGCUUGGAGGCAAAAUGAAUAUGGGAAUCUAGGCCCCUGGGUUCUAGACUCAAAUUUGGAAGUAACAGCUUUGUUGAUGACGCACGUGCCUGAGACACAGUGUGGUGAUACUCACGGAUAUUUUCUCUGCAACAUAGUUCCCCCUGUUCUCCAGCUUGUCUUCACUGGCAUAGA